GUCUACAGCCAUUCCACUGUGAAUGCGCCUGAUGUCAUCUGAUCUCAGAAACUGAACAGGAUCUGGCUCGAUUAAUACCUGGGUGGAAGAAAACAAGGUGUGCCCACU
rnacentral:rRNA from 1 species